rnacentral:rRNA from 1 species
AGUAAUGUCUGGGAAACUGCCUGAUGAGGGGGAUAACUACUGGAAACGGUAGCUAAUACCGCAUAACGUCGCAAGACCAAAGUGGGGGACCUUCGGGCCUCAUGCCAUCAGAUGUGCCCAGAUGGGAUUAGCUAGUAGGUGGGGUAACGGCUCACCUAGGCGACGAUCCCUAGCUGGUCUGAGAGGAUGACCAGCCACACUGAAACUGAGACACGGUCCAG